GCGAUAUCUUGUUAAAAAGCCGCUUCUCGUAUGAUCAUCGAAGUUAAGCAACGUCGUACUUGGCCAGUACCUAUAUGGGAGACCGCGUGGGAAUGUCUGGUGCUGUCU